rnacentral:rRNA from 1 species
UAGUCAUAUGCUUGUCUCAAAGAUUAAGCCAUGCAUGUCUAAGUAUAAGCGCUCUUUUACUGUGAAACUGCGAAUGGCUCAUUAAAUCAGUUAUCGUUUAUUUGAUAGUACCCUACUACAUGGAUACCUGUGGUAAUUCUAGAGCUAAUACAUGCGCAAAACCCCGACUUCGGAAGGGGUGUAUUUAUUAGAUAAAAAACCAAUGCCCUUCGGGGCUCCUUGGUGAUUCAUAAUAACUUCACGAAUCGCAUGGCCUUGCGCCGGCGAUGGUUCAUUCAAAUUUCUGCCCUAUCAAUUUUCGAUGGUAGGAUAGUGGCCUACCAUGGUGGCAACGGGUAACGGGGAAUUAGGGUUCGAUUCCGGAGAGGGAGCCUGAGAAACGGCUACCACAUCCAAGGAAGGCAGCAGGCGCGCAAAUUACCCAAUCCCGAUACGGGGAGGUAGUGACAAUAAAUACUGAUACAGGGCUCUUUUGGGUCUUGUAAUUGGAAUGAGAACAAUCUAAAUCCCUUAACGAGGAACAAUU